CGGGCCUGUGGUGUGCUGAGUCACCACCCUAGAAGCCCUCAGUGGGGUUUUUCCAUAACUUUGAGGUUUGGAAAUGUCCCAGGCUCUCCUGCUCUAGUUGGAAUCUCAUCUCUGGCGUUCCUAGAGGCUUUCUGCUCUCUCUGGGAAACAGCUGCUCAAAGACAGAAAGGCUGGAAAUGGAGCCCCAGGCCUUGCAUACACAAGAUUCUAGGAAAAAUUCAUGUGGUAUGAAAGAAAGCCCCAAGACAAGCCGGUAAAAGAAAAUGCAUGCUGCAAGAACACACUUCUAGAACACGAGCUCAUGAAUAUGAGUAAUACCUGAAGCGGCUCUAAGAGUACGGAAAAGGCGAUCGCCUCAGGGGAAACAGGACAAAGGCAAAGGAUCUGACAGGAUUUCUCUGUGUAGCCCUAGCUGUCCUGGGAACUCACACUGUAGACCAGGCUGGCCUCAAACUCACAGAGAUCCACCUGCUUCUGCCUCCUGAGAGCUGGGAUUAAAGGGGUGCACUUCCCACACCCGACUACAUAACUGAAUCAUUAAAAAUCGAGUAUGAGGAGCUGGAUAAAUGCACUGGCUGCUCUUCUAGAAGUCCCAGAUUCAGUCCUCAGCAUCUAAUGGCAUUGCACAACUAUUUGUAACUUCAGUUUCAGGGGCUCCGAUGCCCUCUUCUGACUUUUGUGGACAGUGGGUACACAUACGAGGUACACAUACAUGCAUGCAGGCAUAGCACUCCUACACAUAAAAGCAAAUAAGUAAAUCUUUAAAAAUUCAAUUUGACUUAUUUAUACCACUUUUUGUGUUUAUGUUUUCAGUACCAUGCUGGGAGAGAUAUUGCUCAACUAACCAAGCAAUAUUGGCUAUGUAUAUGUAUAUUUGCUAUGUAUAUGUGACAUAAUUAGACUCCUCUGGUUUAGCCAUUUACAAAUGGUGCCAUUGUUUUCUCCAUUUUAGCCAUAUGACUGCACAUGAUCAAAGAUGAUUGCCAUAUACCAAAUGAUCCAGGCUCCGUACAGAUACUCACCUUCUCUGUUAGUAUACUUGGUACAUGCCCAAGCUAUGUGAUCUUAAACAAAAGACCUAACCUCUCUGACAUUUGGCUGUUAUCCUGUCCAGGGUUUUCCGAGGGAGAGCUUGAGGAAAAGGUUUGUGAAGAGGUAGUUUGUUUGAGAAUGUGACUCCAGGAAGCAGGAAAGAUAGACGGGGACUGAAUCCUAGAAGAGCACCUGUAUAAGGAGGGUCAGCACACUGGCAAACGCUGUGGGUAUCUAGGGCUUCGUGCCAUCAUGACCUUCCCCAGAAACCCUGAAAUGUCUCAGAAUCGUCUUCUGGAGAACAAGUACUUACCCACUGGCUCUUAUCUCCUAACGGUCAAGGGAGACCCACAGACUAUAAGUUCCGCGUACUGAUGAGCUACAUGUGCUUAAGAUCGGUGCCCCCUUGGUUAUCCUACUUCUCUGUAUUUGGGAAACGUGUUCGCUAGGUUUUGGUCAACUUGACACAAUCUCGAUUCAUCUGCGAAGAAGGAACCACAAUUCCAGAAGACUGGCCUGUAGGGCAUUUUCUUUAUUAAUGGUUAAUGUGGGAGAACCUAGUCGGUUGGUUGGUGCCACCCUUGAGUAGGUGGUCCUGGAUGGUAUAUGAAUGCAAUCUGAGCAAACCGUGUAGAACAAGUAAGGAAGCACUUCUCUGCCAUGACCUCUGCAUCAGUUCCUGUCUCCACAUUCUUGUCCUGCUUGAGUUCCUGGCCUGAAUUCCUUGGAUGAUGAACUACAGUCUGAAUGAUGAAAUAAAC